CCUACGGGGGGCAGCAGUGGGGAAUCUUCCGCAAUGGGCGCAAGCCUGACGGAGCAAUGCCGCGUGAACGAAGAAGGUCUUCGGAUUGUAAAGUUCUGUCCUUAUCGAAGAGAGGGUAUAGAGUGAAAAAUGAUAUACUAGGACGGUAGAUGAGGAGGAAGCUCCGGCUAACUACGUGCCAGCAGCCGCGGUAAUACGUAGGGAGCGAGCGUUGUCCGGAAUUACUGGGUGUAAAGGGAGCGUAGGCGGGGAUGCAAGUUGGGUGUCAAAACUACCGGCUCAACUGGUAGUCGCACUCAAAACUGCAGCUCUUGAGUGAAGUAGAGGCAGGCGGAAUUCCUAGUGUAGCGGUGAAAUGCGUAGAUAUUAGGAGGAACACCAGUGGCGAAGGCGGCCUGCUGGGCUUUUACUGACGCUGAGGCUCGAAAGUGUGGGGAGCAAACAGGAUUAGAUACCCCGGUAGUC
rnacentral:rRNA from 1 species